AUGGCGCAGACGACUGUGGUGGUGCCGGAGGUGGGCAUGACGGCUGCCACGCCCACUGCGUGCCCCUGCCCUGGGUCGCUGUUCCCGUACCCGCCGCCGCGUGCCGGGAUGGCCGUGAGCCGCAAGUGCCUGCGGGCGGCGCAGGCGGAGCUUGGCGCGGGGAUGCUCAGUGGCCUGGUCGAGUCCAUGCGGGCGUCCUCCCCCACGCACGCCAGGGCCGCCGCCGCCCUCGCCGCCGGCGUCGACGACGAGCACGCCGCCUGGAUGGCAAGGCACCCGUCCGCCCUGGGAAAGUUCGAGGAGAUCGUGGCCGCGUCCAAGGGGAAGCAGAUCGUCAUGUUCCUGGACUACGACGGCACGCUGUCCCCCAUCGUCGAUGACCCCGACGCCGCCUUCAUGAGCGAGACGGUGAGCCACUCCCCUCCCCUGUUCACCCUGCUUCCUGCAGUAGUUUUUAUAGUACCCGCCAUGCACCUCUGCUCAGUGCUCACUACCUGCGAACACGUUAUUAAUUUUCUGAUUUGGAAUGAGCAGAUGCGGAUGGCAGUGCGCAGCGUGGCCAAGCACUUCCCGACGGCGAUCGUGAGCGGUCGGUGCCGCGACAAGGUGUUUGAGUUCGUGAAGCUGGCGGAGCUCUACUACGCCGGCAGCCACGGCAUGGACAUCAAGGGCCCAGCCAAAUCCUCAAAGUCCAAGGCCAAAGGAGUUCUCUUCCAACCAGCAAGCGAGUUCCUGCCCAUGAUAGAAGAGGUGCAUCAACGGCUGAUAGAGGAGACGAAGCACGUAGCCGGGGCCAAGGUGGAGAACAACAAGUUCUGCGUGUCCGUCCACUUCAGAUGCGUCGACGAAAAGAGCUGGGGCGCGCUGGCGGAGACGGUGAAGGGCGUGAUGCGGGAGUACCCGAAGCUGCGCAUGUCGCAGGGGCGGAUGGUGUUCGAGGUGCGGCCCACCAUCAAGUGGGACAAGGGCAAGGCCCUCGAGUUCCUGCUCGAGUCGCUGGGCUUCGCCGACUGCCCCAACGUGCUGCCCGUCUACAUCGGCGACGACCGCACCGACGAGGACGCCUUCAAGGUGCUGCGCCGGAGGGGCCAGGGCGUCGGGAUCCUCGUCUCCAAGCACCCCAAGGACACCAGCGCCUCCUUCUCGCUGCAGGAGCCGGCCGAGGUCAUGGAGUUCCUGCUCCGCCUCGUCGAGUGGAAGCAGCUCUCCAGGGCGCGCCUCAGGCUGCGGCGUCAGGCCGACGCCUGA
rnacentral:rRNA from 1 species